GAUGAACGCUGGCGGCAGGCUUAACACAUGCAAGUCGAGCGAGCGGCGGACGGGUGAGUAAUGUCUGGGAAACUGCCUGCUGGAGGGGGAUAACUACUGGACACGGUAGCUAAUACCGCAUCCCAUCAGAUGUGCCCAGAUGGGAUUCGCUAGUUGGUGGGGUAAUGGCUCACCAAGGCGACGAUCCCUCGCUGGUCUGAGAGGAUGACAAGCCACACUGGAACUGGGAAACGGUCCAGACUCCUACGGGAGGCAGCAGUGGGGAAUAGUGCACAAUGGGAGCAAGCCUGAUACAGCCAUGCCGCGUGUAUGAAGAAGGCCUUCGGGUUGUAAAGUACUUUCAGCGAGGAGGCGGUACUCGCAGAAGAAGCACCGGCUAACUCCGUGCCAGCAGCCGCGGUAAUUC
rnacentral:rRNA from 1 species